UACCAGCACCCCGAGUGGUCGGGACGUUUAUUGGGCCUAAAGCAUCCGUAGCCGGUUCUACAAGUCUUCAGUUAAAUCCACCUGCUUAACAGAUGGGCUGCGGAAGAUACUAUAGAGCUAGGAGGCGGGAGAGGCAAGCGGUACUCGAUGGGUAGGGGUAAAAUCCGUUGAUCCAUUGAAGACCACCAGUGGCGAAGGCGGCUUGCCAGAACGCGCUCGACGGUGAGGGAUGAAAGCUGGGGGAGCAAACCGG
rnacentral:rRNA from 1 species